rnacentral:lncRNA from 13 species
AUGGUGUAUAUGUGCCACAUUUUCCCAGUCCAGUCUAUCAUCGAUGGGCAUUUGGGUUGGUUCCAGGUUCAUCCAUGUCCCUACAAAGGACACAAGCUCAUCGUUUUUGAUGGCUGCAUAAUAUUCCACGGUAUUUAUGUGCCACAAUUUCCUUGUCCAGUCUAUCAUCGAUGGGCAUUUGGGUUGAUUCCAGGUCUUUCCUGUUGUAAACAGUGUUGCAAUGAACAUCCGUGUUUAUGUAUCCUUAUAAUAGAACGAUUUAUAAUCCUUUGAAUAUAUAUCCAGUAAUGGGAUUGCUGGGUCAAAUGGAAUUUCUAUUUCUAGGUCCUUGAGGAAUUGCCACACUGUCUUCCACAAUGGUUGAACUAAUUUACACUCCCACCAACAGUGUAAAAGUGUUUCUAUUUCUCCACAUCCUCUCCAGCAUCUGUUGUCUCCAGAUUUUUUAAUGAUUGCCAUUCUAACUGGUGUGAGAUGGUAUCUCAAUGUAGUCUUGAUUUGCAUUUCUCUAAUGACCAGUGAUGAUGAGCAUUUUUUCAUAUGUUUGUUGGCCUCAUAUACAUCUUCUUUUGUAUAGUGUCUGUUCAUAUCCUUCACCCACUUUUGAAUCAGCUUGUUUGUUAUUAUCUUGUAAAUCAGUUUUAGUUCUUCGUAGAUUCUGGAUAUUAGCCUUUGUCAGAUGGGUAGAUUGCAAAAUUUUUUUCACAAUCUGUUGGUUGCUGAUUCACUCUAAUGACUAUUUCUUUUGCUGUGCAGAAGCUCUGGAGUUUAAUUAGCUCCCAUUUGUCUGUUUUGGCUUUUGUUGCCAAUGCUUUUGGUAUUUUAGUCAAGAAGUCCAUGCCUAUGCCUAUGUCCUGAAUGGUUUUGCCUAAGUUUUCUUCUAGGGUUUUUAUGGUGUUAGGUUUUAUGUUUAAGUCUUUAAUCCAUCUGGAGUUAAUUUUAGUGUAAGGUAUCAGGAAGGGGUCCAGUUUCUGCUUUCUGCACAUGGCUAGCCAGUUUGCCCAACACUAUUUAUUAAACAGGGAAUCCUUUCCCUGUUGCUUGUUUUUAUCAGGUUUGUCAAAGAUCAGAUGGUUGUAGAUGUGUGGCAUUGCAUCUGAGGACUCUGUUCUGUUCCAUUGGUCUAUAUCUCUGUUUUGGUACCAGUACUUGAUUUGAUUACUAUAGCCUUGUAAUAUACUUUGAAGUCAGGUAGUGUGAUGCCUCCAACUUUGUUCUUUUUGCUUAGAAUUGACUUGGCUGUGUGGCCUCUCUUUUGAUUCCAUAUGAAGUU